AUUGAACGCUGGCGGCAGGCUUAACACAUGCAAGUCGAGCGAGCGGCGGACGGGUGAGUAAUGUCUGGGAAACUGCCUGAUGGAGGGGGAUAACUACUGGAAACGGUAGCUAAUACCGCAUACCAUCAGAUGUGCCCAGCUGGGAUUAGCUAGUAGGUGGGGUAAUGGCUCACCUAGGCGACGAUCCCUAGCUGGUCUGAGAGGAUGGCCAGCCACACGGUGACGGAGACACGUUCCAGACGCCUACGGGAGGCAGCAGUGGGGAAUAGUGCACAAUGGGCGAGAGCGUGAUGCAGCAAGGCCGCGUGUGUGAAGAAGGCCUUCGGGUGGUAAAGCACUUUCAGCGAGGAGGCGUUACUCGCAGAAGAAGCACCGGCUAACUCCGUGCCAGCAGCCGCGGUAAUUC
rnacentral:rRNA from 1 species